rnacentral:rRNA from 1 species
CCCUUAGAUGUUCUGGGCCGCACGCGCGCUACACUGACGGAGGCAGCGAGCGUGUCCUUCGCCGGCAGGUGUGGGCAAUCUUGCGAGUCUCCGUCGUGCUGGGGAUAGAUGGUUGCAAUUGUCGAUCUUGAACGAGGAAUUCCUAGUAAGCGCGAGUCAUCAGCUCGCGCUGAUUACGUCCCUGCCCUUUGUACACACCGCCCGUCGCUACUACAGAGUGCCCGUGUCCAAGAAACGGUCGGACCUGUGCGGCCUCUCCGGGCGACCGGAGGGCCGUUACGGGGAAGACCCUUUAUUUGACGCGGGUCGAUGAAGUAAAAGUCGUAACA